rnacentral:rRNA from 1 species
GACGAACGCUGGCGGCGUGCUUAACACAUGCAAGUCGAACGAAGAGCGAUGGAAGCUUGCUUCUAUCAAUCUUAGUGGCGAACGGGUGAGUAACGCGUAAUCAACCUGCCCUUCAGAGGGGGACAACAGUUGGAAACGACUGCUAAUACCGCAUACGAUCUAAUCUCGGCAUCGAGGAUAGAUGAAAGGUGGCCUCUACAUGUAAGCUAUCACUGAAGGAGGGGAUUGCGUCUGAUUAGCUAGUUGGAGGGGUAACGGCCCACCAAGGCGAUGAUCAGUAGCCGGUCUGAGAGGAUGAACGGCCACCUUGGGACUGAGACACGGCCCAGACUCCUACGGGAGGCAGCAGUGGGGAAUCUUCCGCAAUGGACGAAAGUCUGACGGAGCAACGCCGCGUGAGUGAUGACGGCCUUCGGGUUGUAAAGCUCUGUUAAUCGGGACGAAAGGCCUUCUUGCGAAUAGUGAGAAGGAUUGACGGUACCGGAAUAGAAAGCCACGGCUAACUACGUG